rnacentral:rRNA from 1 species
UACGUAGGGGGCGAGCGUUGUCCGGAGUUACUGGGCGUAAAGCGCACGCAGGCGGUCUGCUAAGUUUGGAGUGACAGUUGGUGGCUCAACCACCAAAGUGCUUUGAAAACUGACAGACUUGAGGGCUUCAGAGGGACACGGAAUUCCGGGUGGAGUGGUGAAAUGCGUAGAGAUCCGGAGGAACACCAAAGGCGAAGGCAGUGUCCUGGGGAGUACCUGACGCUCAGGUGCGAAAGCCAGGGGAGCGAACAGG